GUCUGGUCCGAAGGUAGUAAGUUAUCUCAUUUGAUUAUUCACAGUCAGUUACAGAUUGAACUCCUUGUUCUACUACUUUCCCCCCUCCUCACUACACUUGACUAGUCUAAA
rnacentral:Y_RNA from 1 species